rnacentral:misc_RNA from 1 species
UUUCCGUAGGUGAACCUGCGGAAGGAUCAUUAUUGUAUAACCGAGGUGCGAGGGCUGUCGCUGACCCCAAAGGCCGUGCACGCCCGAGUGCCCUCACACACUUCCAUCCCACCCCUAUGUCCACCACCGCGUGGGUCCCCCUUUGGCGUGUUCGGAGGGGGGGUUACGUGUUCACACAAACUUUGUAUGCAGUGUAGAAUGUAUUUUUUGUUUUUGCGAUCACGCAAUCAAUACAACUUUCAACAACGGAUCUCUUGGCUCUC